rnacentral:rRNA from 1 species
GUGGACGAACCUCUGGUGUACCGGUUGUCACGCCAGUGGCAUCGCCGGGUAGCUAUGUUCGGAAGAGAUAACCGCUGAAAGCAUCUAAGCGGGAAACUCGCCUUAAGAUGAGAUAUCCCUGGAGGCUUGACCUCCUUGAAGGGUCGUUCGAGACCAGGACGUUGAUAGGUCGGGUGUGUAAGCGCAGUAAUGCGUUCAGCUAACCGAUACUAAUUGCCCGUAAGGCUUGAUCCU